AUAGACAAAUCUGUUUCAACGAUCAAGAGCUGGGAGUCCUCUCUUUCGCCAAAAGAACUGAAUGUUGAGUGUCUUUCUUUUGGAGUGGAACAAAAUUUAAACUCCUAUUUGCUAGCUGUGGAAAGGAAUAGAUACUCUGAAGAAACUAUACAGCCAUCUUUUCAACUGCUUGAUGACUUUCUGAAAUCAAGAGUAUUGUCGUACCAUUGCAGUAUUUUGAAGAAAUUCGAGUCGGUAAAGUACCUGAUGCAGAUUGCAGAUAAUUUGUUGGGAAUACAACUGAAUGUGCAAGAAAGUGUGGAAGAGAAACAUGCUUCCCUCAGGGAAUUUGAGUUGCGUGAAAGAGGACGCAAAACAUUUGAAAAGAUUCUUCAAAUUUUACCUGUUUUGCGGCAGUGUCUUUUCUCAAUUUCAUAUUUGAUCAUUUGCAACUUUAUCGCUGCAGUCCUUGGUCAGGACACCCUGAGUCCUCUCAGGGAUAUAAAAGAUGUACUUUCGGCAGUGCAAAAAAUGUAUCACUUCACCAAUCGGAAAGUGAACAGAUGGUUGGAAAAUGUGAGAAUUUUGCAGACAAUGAUCAUCCCAGUUCUGAAGCGGUCCAAAACUGAAAACGUGCCUUUUGAAGCAUUUUUUAGGUAAAAGGAAUGGCUGACGGAAAAUUUGUCCGACAAAGAUUCUUAUUUGUGUUUCUUCAUCUUGAAAGUACUCAAAGUACACCAACUGCCAAUCCUGCCAAAAAUUUUGUCUGUAAUAUGGCGAAUGUUAGUGUUGCGCUUGCGUAUUGUGACACAAGUCUCAAUGAUUUGUGUUUCGAAAUCAACUGGCUCGUAUCGAUGGGUUGCAAGUUUUCAUCAUUGGACAUUGUACUGCUACCCAUGUAGCAAAAUUUAAAAGAUGAUUGCCAAUAUAUUGAUAAUUUAUUUACAAUUCUAUUCCAAUUUGAUUUCCAUUGAUUGGUCAUUUGUUGGUAAUUUAUUGCCAAUAAUCGACCAAUCCUGGAAUCAAAAGUCGACCAAUUAUUUGGCCAUAUUAUUGCCUAUUGAAUUGCAAUGACAUUGGAAUAUGUUGGUGAUAAAACAGCAAUAAACCAUCAUUAUCUCAACUUUUUUUGUCCCCAGUAUCAGGUUGAAAAUAGUUUCUCCCUGGAAAACUUGCAAAGAAUACUGAGAAUUGAGGAAUAAUAGAGUCAAAAAAAGAAAAAGAAAGGAAGUUAACUUAAAUCGCCCAGAAGAUACGCACAACAGUAUAUUUAAAAGAAUCGUUUUCCCAGGUCUAGUCUAUCCUCCCUAAAAAAGUAGUAGUCGUUUUUUUAUUACUUUAAGUUCUUUGAUUGGCAUAUUUUAAUUUUUAAAUGCCAGGGAAAACGAUUCCUUUAAAUAUACUGUUGUGGAACUGCAAAUAUCUUCUGGCGAGUUACAUUGCUUACUCACUAAGAAAGGCAUAAAAUGCUCUUGAAGAUAAUAGACAUGUAUUUCGGAAGAGAUAUUGUGUCAUAUGUAAUGAAUUUCAAAAUUUUCCUCACAUUUUGGAGGAAAAAUUUUACUAUGUAAUAAAUUUAAAAAUAAUUUCAUGAAAAUGAUAUGGUCGUGGUAGGUAAAGUAAAAACCUUAACAUUUUUUUUUAAAAAAAUUCAGUAUAUUAUAUUAUUACAAUGAAUUUUAAUAUUACAUACAGAACUUAAUUAAGGUAACAAUCUAAGAGACAGAUAAAGAGAAAAAAGUGGCCAAAAAUGUCUAACCAUUAUUAAUUACAGAGCAGCGAAAGAGCUGUUCCUUGGCAAAAAUGCUUCACUAUAAUUAAUUAGAGAGCAGCAAUAUGGCCGCUAAUUAGAGAGCAGCUAUGGGGCUGUUAAUUAGAGAGCAGAGAUAGGGCUGCUUUAAUAGAGAGCAGCGAUAGGGCUGCUUAAAUAGAGAGCAGCGAUAGGGCUGCUAAUUAGAGAAUAGUGAAAGGGAGCUGUGAAUUAGAGAGCAGGGAUAGGUCUGUUAAUUUGAACAAAUACAAAUGAAAAGAAGAUAAAUUUUAAUAAAGAGAAAAAAAUGGCCAAAAAUGUCUAACCAUUAUUAAUUACGGAGCAGCGAAAGAGCUGUUAGUUGGCAAAAAUAUAAAUAAAAAGAAGUCAAAUGUAGAUGAAGAGAAAAGUGGCCAUCUAAAAAUGCCUAUCUUUAAAUAAUUACAGAGCAGCGAUAGGGGUGGCACUAUUUGGCUUUUUCUUUGGUGGUACUUGGCUUUUUCUUUAGUGAUUUAGACAUCGUCAGCAUGUUUGAAAUUGUGUCUUUUACCAGCAUAUCGAUAUUGUCAUUUUUCCUUUUUUUCGAUCUUUUCAAUGUUUCUGAAAAUACAAAAACAAAUUUUAAAGUAGAAAAAAAAAACAAAAGUGAGGGAACGUGAUCAAAAAUGAUUACAAGAGUGACGUUAAACCUGCAAAUAUAGAUCUCAUGAGUCAAAGAUUGUCUAGGAAUCAGGGCUAUUUUAUUUCCUAUGGAACGCAGUGUAAUGGGUUCCUUGUGAUUCAAGGAGCGAGCGGUUGUAGUAACGAUUGUAGACUGAUGAGUGCGAUUUUAUACAUUUUGACUGUGUACACCUUUGGGAAUUCAGUAACUAAAAAUUAACAUUUCAGAUGCAUUGAUUUCUAAACUUGAUAAGCCUUCUGAAAGUGAAAUCAUAGGAGCAUUAUGUGAGAAUUGAAUAAUAAUCCGAGCUUACUUAUUAGCACUGAAUUGCAAAAUACUGAUUUUCCAAAUGCAAGUUUCCACUCUCCCUCCUUGUCUGAAGUUUGCCCCAUCCACGAGGACUCCUUCUCAGCUCUUCAUGAAGGACUUGCCUAACGAUGGUCCUGGCGGCAUGAGAUAAUUUGUUCUGGCUUUGAAUACCAUUGUUGAAGUGUAGAAUCUGGGGGAUGUACAAAAGAAACAAAGCAUUGGUGUUUACGUAAUAAAAAAUUUCAUGAAACUUUAUUAAAAAUUUAUCAUCAUAUUAGAAAUAGGAGGUCAGGAAAUCAAAAAGACACACGAAAACUCUCAACUUUCAGAAAAAAAAUUUAUAAAGAUAAGAGAAGAAAUGUUACUCUUGUUUGUUGUUUUUAAUUCUACCUAAAGUUGAUGAGGAGUCUCAUGACAUGAUUAUAGAAAAGGGACCUGCAAUAGCAAAAUUAUGCGAAUGAGACACUGCUCUACAACAUAUUCUGCAGAAAUCGAUAGGGCGAAUUCUUCAAGCCCAAAGGCAGAGGUGACUUUAAUUUCUGAGGAUGGAUUCUUAAGCUUAAAUUCAUAAAGUUUUUCACGAUAAAUAAGAAUGUACAACUGAAAUAAUUUCUACAGUGUAAUUUGCUAACAAAUAAAGAAAAAUCGUGGAAGUUUGUAAGAAAGGUUCCUCCAUGAAAACAUAAAUUAUGACAGGAAGUUCGCAACAUUGCAAACAUGUGUUUGCAUUUAUCGAUUUUGGACACAUAUUUAUGAAGGUCUGCCUUUCUUGUAUGUAAUUGCACUCUGAUAUAUCUGAAUCGUCUUGCUUCCUUACUUGGCUCAGGUUUGGUAUUUUUAAAACUGGAGCCGUGUCAAGAAGUAUUAAUCAUGACCCAUCCAAAUGAUAAAAAUAUUAAAUUUAAAAAAGAGAAGAAGGGGGGGGGGGAUUUAAAAUGACUUAUAUCUGUCAUAGACCAAAUGUUAAAUUCUAAGCAAGUAUUCUGAAUCAUAUUGAAAUUAAAAAUCUUUAACUGAAUUUUGUCAGUUUAAUGCGGUUAAUAAUGACGGUUCAAUUUAAUGCAAUUAAGGAUUCUCAGCUGCAUUCUAAACCAUUUCGGGAAGCGUUUCAACAAUUUCUAGACCGAAUAUGAACAAUGAUAUCGCAUAAAAUACGAAAUAUUUACAAUUUUAAAUUCGAAAAUUUAAUAGGAAUUGAUUAAAUGAUACAGUUCCAUGAAAAAUCGCAACAUGAAGGAGAUAUUCGUUCAGAACAUUGAAUUAUUGAGAAUUUUAUGUUACUUUUAUGUUAAAACUUUGUUAUUCUCAAAAAUUUGACCAAAUGCCUACUUUGACUAUUAGCCUAAAACAUAUCCAAAUACUUCAGAUCCUCUCCAUGCAUUUAAAAAUUUGAUAAAAAGAAGACUGACCAAAACACUUACCAACCCAGUCACAAGAUCAUUUGUUUCAGACAAGGUUUUGUCAAAACUGUUGAAGGCUUCUUUUGUUUUGAAGGGUGCAUCCUUCAGUAAUUCCUGAAUUUUUGCUUUAUUUUCAUCAUCAUCUGAUUGAGAAGUCUCCUGAUUCUUUCGUAGCAGUUCAUCCAGCGGAUCCAUGAUUUCGCUCAUAGAUUUCUCCAGCAUUUCUUUGAGUUUUUGGAAUUCUCCUGUCAUCAUAAUUAUUUUACACAUAAAAGAUACGACCAAUAACUGGAAUCCUGAUAUGAACUUCAUUUUAAAUGAUGCAUAGAAUGCAAUUAUCACGCGAAGAUACGUCAUGCUGAAGUGUAACAAUGUUUUGUUUCAAACUGAAAAAUAUAAAAUAAAGAAUCAAUAAUGUGAUGAUCAGUGCAUCCUCAAACGGCAAACUUUUCGUGAGAACUUUCUUGAAUUGAUGAUUACAAGAAAAAUACCAAUUUUUACCUUUUCGGAUCGCAGGUCUAAACUGUUUGAAAUGAAAAUGUGGUCAGAAUGACUUAGGGUCCAAAAAUGUAUCUGUAGUGUAUGACAGGAAAGAAUACAAAAGAAGUUUUCUGUGGGGACAGGUAUGACUUCUGUACAACGACUUUGACUCAAACUACAGCCAUGUGAACAAUGCAAGAACUCUAAAAAUUCAACACUUUUGGACAUUUAAAUAAUAAAUAAUAGCAAAUUUCAUUUAAAAUUAAGCAAACGCUAUUGCUCAGAGAUCAAAAAAGAAUCCUA
rnacentral:lncRNA from 1 species